ensembl:lncRNA
UCUUAUGUCUCCUGCCGUGGCAGCCCUGCAGUUGCUGUCUCUGCCCAUCUAAGAUGGAACCCGCUGUGGAAGAGAUAUUUGGUGUUGACAAAUGCAGCAUCACAUUGUCUGACCUCCUGCAUCAGAAGAAUUGUGAUCUUCAAGCUCGACCAAGACAGAUGAGAGCAUUAAUAAUCCUGAAAAUCAUUCUGGAAUUCAACAGAAGAGACAAAUGGAGCAGAGCCCCCAGCCUCAGGGGUCGGAAUGAAAAGUGCUGACUUCAGAAGCGGCUCCCUUGGCCUGGUUCUGGGUGCACUGAGUGCCUGCCAGCCUGUGGCUCUUCUUGCAGGCCAGAGCUCUUGGAUAUGUAUUGUCCUCUCUGAAGAGCAGGCCCAGGAUGGAACCUUUAGAAUCCCCCAGUUUGGUCUGGCCUUGAAUGCUCAGGAAGGUCCUGGCAGUGUAACCUACAAAUGUUCUGAGCUUCAGGGAAGAGUUUCUCAACUGUGGCCCUGUUGGCAGUUUGGACUGGAUAAUUCCUUUGGGGCUGUCCUGUACACUGCACUCUUGGAAAUAAAGUGAAGAUUCUCCACGAGGAUUGCAACCAUUGCUGUCUAGCUGACAUUUCUGGGAGCCUGGUGGACAGGAGAUGGAGGUUGUAGAU